AUUGAACGCUGGCGGCAGGCUUAACACAUGCAAGUCGAGCGGAGAUGAGGUGCUUGCACCUUAUCUUAGCGGCGGACGGGUGAGUAAUGCUUAGGAAUCUGCCUAUUAGUGGGGGACAACAUUCCGAAAGGAAUGCUAAUACCGCAUACGUCCUACGGGAGAAAGCAGGGGACCUUCGGGCCUUGCGCUAAUAGAUGAGCCUAAGUCGGAUUAGCUAGUUGGGGGGGUAAAGGCCUACCAAGGCGACGAUCUGUAGCGGGGCUGAGAGGAUGAUCCGCCAAACUGGGACUGAGACACGGCCCAGACUCCUACGGGAGGCAGCAGUGGGGAAUAUUGGACAAUGGGCGGAAGCCUGAUCCAGCCAUGCCGCGUGUGUGAAGAAGGCCUUUUGGUUGUAAAGCACUUUAAGCGAGGAGGAGGCUACUUAGAUUAAUACUCUAGGAUAGUGGACGUUACUCGCAGAAUAAGCACCGGCUAACUCUGUGCCAGCAGCCGCGGUAACAC
rnacentral:rRNA from 1 species